UACGGGGGGGGCAAGCGUUGUUCGGAAUUACUGGGCGUAAAGGGCUCGUAGGCGGCCAACUAAGUCAGACGUGAAAUCCCUCGGCUUAACCGGGGAACUGCGUCUGAUACUGGUUGGCUUGAGUUUGGGAGAGGGACGCGGAAUUCCAGGUGUAGCGGUGAAAUGCGUAGAUAUCUGGAGGAACACCGGUGGCGAAGGCGGCAUCCUGGACCGAGAUUGACGCUGAGGCGCGAAAGCCAGGGGAGCAAACGGG
rnacentral:rRNA from 1 species